rnacentral:rRNA from 1 species
UACGUAGGGGGCAAGCGUUAAUCGGAAUUACUGGGCGUAAAGCGUGCGCAGGCGGUUUUGUAAGUUUGUCGUGAAAGCCCCGGGCUCAACCUGGGAAUUGCGAUGAAGACUGCAAGGCUUGAAUCUGGCAGAGGGGGGUAGAAUUCCACGUGUAGCAGUGAAAUGCGUAGAGAUGUGGAGGAACACCGAUGGCGAAGGCAGCCCCCUGGGUCAAGAUUGACGCUCAUGCACGAAAGCGUGGGGAGCAAACAGG